AUGGAUAAAAAUGUGGCUGAUGAGAAUUGACGGUGAUAUCAGCUUACCAUUGCCAUGGGAAUGCUAUAUAAUUAACCAAUACUAACGCUGUUGCUCUCAUGUCUACUGGUGGGCUGGAGCCUGAUGUAAUUUUAGGACUCUACAUGGAGGGUACAACUCCAGGAAGAUCUGUCUAAUCCAUGACUCCCACCUCAGACUCAGCUCACUCUACUAGAGCAAGCAGGGGAUAGAAUAUGAUCUGCCAAGGAAAUGUCCCUCUCUUCAUCCUAAACCACUUGUUCCUUGCCAGGCUGUGCACUGGGAGCACCUGUGGAGCUCUGGAAGCUGACUGCAACACCCAGGCCCCACUUGAGGAGAUGUUGGCUUGCUUGGUCCAGGACAAAUGCACUUGGAUAUGCCUCCAUUUCCAUUAACAGGCAACUUGGGGGAAAGAACUCAGCUAUACUUCGAUUUUUCCACUUAAAGAAAGAUGGUUUUCAUUAUUCAUACCCAGCUGACGAGGAGAGAGAAAAGAAUAAGCGAGAAGAUGCUGCUUGGAGUGAGGGGAGGCUUUAAGGGUCUGAUCUUGACCAACUGCUUCCAGUAACACUCAGCCAAUGGGAAGCUCUGGGAGGAGACUGGAGGGAAGGAGCCAGUGGGCAGCCAGGUUAUUUCUCUCCCUCAUUCUAAUGCUGCUUUGGGGAACAUCUCUGGCAGCAGCAGCUGCUUCUCCUUGGUUCCUGCUCCUACUGGACACUUCAUCUCACCAUGGUCCCAGCUUCUGCAGACAGGUUCGACUUUCAGAAACAGACCCUGUGAUCAAGAAUUGAGUACAACUCCCUUUUGGAGGAUUUAUCCCUGGAAACACUAGAAGGUAAUUAAAAAGGUGAGUUAAAGAUCAGAGUGCACUGAUCUCAGAAUCAGCCCUUAAGGCAUCUGAUCUGGCUGAAAAUCCAUGAGAGCAUUCCAGGCAUGGAAAGCCAAGACACUGUGGCAAAAAAAAAAAAAAUCCUACAUGAAGGAUCUCUGUGAAUGAGACUCCAGUGGAAAGAAGGGGUCAUCAAAGAAGGAAGUACUUUUUUCUGAAGGGAGGAGGGAACUUCCACUUUGCUUAUGGCCUUGUCCAAAUACUGAUGGAAACUGUGGACUCAAAAGGCUUCCAUAGCCUUGGCAGUUCACGUCAAGAGCCUCAGGUGAUCACUGACGUCAUACAUAAGAGUGUUAAUUGUUAAAUUAACAGCAGGAGUCACUGUGCACUUACUCCUCAUGCAGGACCUCUGUCCUAAAUGAGUCAUACUAUGAGAUUUAACUGUAAAACUUGUUCUGAGUUUUUUCUUAAUAUUUUGUAUAUGUGUGUGAGUGCAAAUAGUUGAAAUCUUUACUUAGUAUAGAAUUGGUAUUUUGUAUAUAAAGUAAAUUGAAAAAUGAAUCUUAAUGGACAAAGGGACUAGUAAUGGGAGACAGAGGAGGAAGUGGAGAGGAAGUGUGGGUUCGGAGGGAAGGUAUGGUGGGAAGAAUUACUGUAUUCCUAAAAAUGUACUCAUGAAAUUUAUACUCAUUAAAUAAAAGGUUAAGAAAAAAAGGACCAGAGUGCAGCCAUCCUGCUGGGUAACUAUGAGGGAUAGUACAGAACCAGCCUUAGAGUUGAGGAAGUUGGGAUAUGUAUUCUCCAACUCAGAUUUGUCAAUGGAUGUGGGUUGCUCUAUGGGAUAUUAGCCCCUCAGCAUUUCUUGCCUGCCUGGUCUACUGACCAAGCAAGUUCCUAUGGUUAGAGAAAUCCCUUCAACAGUAACAGGGACUCUGAGAAAAAAGUGUAGGCACAAUUAGUCAAAGAGUAGGAAAAAUGGGUGGCAAUGGCAGUGUCUGCUACAGUCAGCCAAUAUACAGUUAAACAAAUCUAUGCCAUCCCACAUACAUAGAGUCUCAUUCAGCUGUGUCACUUAAUAUUAUGUUGACAGUAUAUCACGUUUCACAAUACUGAUCUCCAUUUAUAAUUUCCCAGUAUCUCAAAUGAUUUGACAAUAAAUAUCUCUGCUCAGACUUUAUUCUAUCUCUAAGUAUUUUUGGGGGUAAAUUUAUCAAAGACUACUUACUAAUUACCUAGAAUUAUGACUACUAAUCUCAUAUUCAAAAGAAUGCUUGAGAUAGUAGCUAACUUACUCUUUUUUCAUCCUGAUGGGAUCUCAAGACAUGAAAGUGACAUGACAACUAAUUUAAUGAAUGUGUUAUUAUUUUGCUUAAUUUGGGAUUGGGGAAGAGAAAGGAGAGGGAGAUUACUCCUGUCAGUGAUUUACUUCCUAAAUAUGCAUACAGGCAGGAGUGAGGCUAAGUCAGAGCCAGGAGCCAGAUCUCUCAUGUGGGUAGAAGGAAUCCAAUUACUUGAGCCAUCACCAAUGUCUCCCACAGCCUACAUAAGCAGGAACCUGGGUUCACAAGACAGAGGUAGGCGCUGGACCAAGGCACUCAAAUGUGGGAUGGUGCUGUCUCAGUCCACAUUACAACCACUUGCCACGCAGCCCACCCUAGUGCAUUUUCUUAUUAUAACUCUUCUGUUCUCUUUGUUCAGUAGUUCUUAAUUAAUGGAAGAUAGCUAUACACCAGGAAACCUUAAUGAGUAGUUUAUUUGCCCAGCCUAAGUUUAUCAAAUUUAUUAGUCAUCUAGUGAUCAUAUUACUUUCAAGAAUGAAGAGGUGAACUAGUCUAUAAGAAGAUCAUUAACCAACUUGAUGUAUUUUUUGCCCAAAUCAUCAACUCAGACUUAUUGGAUGAUUGUUAGUCUUUUGAAUUUUGCAUUUCACUGUGUAAGGUAAAAUACACCUCAUUCUACUUCUUAUCCUCCAGCAGUUUGGUAUGCUUUCUUUCCCACUGAAAUAUCUCCUAAAGCCUUUAACAAGCUAUACUCGAUAGCCUUUUCUUGGUUUCACGCUUUUACUUCUGUGAAGUACUCAGGACUGCUAGUGCUAAAGUGCAUGGGAUUUUCUUAUCUCCCAUGAAAACUACACUUUCCAAACUCUUCCCCAUUUCAUUCUCCUUGGUCUCUGUCAGGGACUCUUCAUCUCUGUAAGUGUGGGCAUCCCCCAUAGUCGGCCACCUGCUUCCGUUCUGUCUCUUGUGACCUCUCUUCUUCAGGGACUUACUUUUUCUUUCUUUUAAAAAAGUUUUCAUUAAUAUAAGCAGAACAGAUUUCACGUAUUUCACAGGUACAAUUCUAAGAGAACCAUGUUUCCCUUUCACUCUUUGAGGCUGGCUCUUAAUGCUCCAUUCUUAAGCUUUACCUCUUUCUUUCUUCAUGAAGUCUAACAUCAAUCUGCCUGAAAGAAAAUUCUUCCAGGCUUCUUUCAAGAGCCUCAAAUACUGUGUGAUCAAAUCCAAAUUUAUCCUCUACAUUUCAAAAUGGUUUUCCUUAUUAUUCUCUCUUUAUCACCGUUAACUCCUUCCUAUUCAAUCAUCUUAUAAUUCAGUCUCCUUUAAUCUGGGUGAAAACCACCUUUCCAAUUUUACCACUUCUUUCCAUCAUGAAUUGUUUCUCUGCUCACCAUGGUUCAUGAUGAAUAUUUCUUACCUCUUAGUUUUAUGCAAAUUAAUAAAAUGCAUGAAAUCCAAACUUUAGAUUUUAUGUUCUGUGUGAUGUUGUCAGAUUUCUCUCAGUCAUUUCAAUUGGUGUAACAGUAACCUUCCUCAUAGAGUCUUAUACAGUCAUAUAACAUAAUGUACUUGGAAAUGUGUAGCACAGUAUUUGGCAUAUUACACCCUUACAGUAAGUAUUUGUGUAUGUGUUCAUUCAUUCAUCUCUUUGAUGCUUCAAAAGUAGCCUUUGCUAUGAAAACCAUUACCAGAGGCCCCUAAAUUCUCAACUUUGACCUUUGCCACCAUUUGUGCAUGUGUAAGUGUAAAACAUUUGCUGUGAGUCCUCAGGUAGACUGCUACAAACAUAGGAAACAGCUUAAAAUGAGAAACCCAACUCGAUACUUCCAUGGAUAAAGGACGCGCUAAAAAUACUGAAUACAGAAAUACCCUUUUCCCAAUCAUCAAGCAUGUACAAAGAUGGGACAAAACAGAUGAGCAAACAGUGAAAUACUGCUUUUUCACUUAAAUAAAGUCAAGUUAGUUCAGGUGAUAAAUGUUUUUCCUACAGUAAAUGAUAUAUUGAUAUAUGCAAAUUCUAAUAUAAGUAUGAGACAAAAAUACAUACGCUGUAUGAUGGUAUAAGUAUUUGUACUUUUUGGUUAUGUAUUAGGAACAGCACAUCAGUAUUUUGUAUGCUAUCUACAAUUUACUAAAAUGACAAUGUUUUACAUCUUGAAGUACUUGUGUGAUAAUGAGUUAAAUAGCUUCCUUUGAUCUGUCAUUUGUAAACUAAUUGUUUUUUAUUCAAAUGACAUGGGAUUUGAGUUUAUUGUCUUCCCUGCGAUUGUAAUAAUCUGAAUAGUGAUGAAUGCUCUUAUUUUCAAGAUUCUGAUCAAAUCACUGGCAUUGGCUUGGGAAGUUUUAAGGGAAAAUAACAUCCUGAUAACUAAUUCUACAGUUUCUGAAGCAAAUGCCUUCAUAAUAAUCUGUAUAAAUCGAGCUUCUUACUGACAUGUUCUGUAGGAGAAUAAUGGUACAAUUUGUAUUUGAAUAUAAAAUUGAAAUUGCAGACUUUAGUGUAAUUGAUUCCCUUUAGAAUGGCAUGGAUGUCUCCUGGAUGGAUGCUAGUGGGAAGAGAUUCCUUGCUAGUAUGCAAUAAAUGUUGUACAGACAUGGUAAGAAGAGGGAAAAAAGGUUUCUUACUGUCUUAUAGAAUGGUCAUAUUUCAAUGGUUUCUAGGAGACUUGAAGAUCCCAGAAGAUACCGCAGAGGCUGUAUGGGAUGGGGUUGGAGGAGUGGGGUAGAGUAUGUGUGUGCUACACAGAGUGCUAAGGGGGACUACGUAGGGACCUUCAGCUCCCUUCUUCCCUGCUUCUACUUUCACCAUGACUCUCAUCUGUCUUAUAUAUGGAGGUUCUGAGUGACAUAGUGUUUGAAAGUCAAGCUGUGCUACUAAGAAAAACAAUAAUUGAGCAUCGUUGUUUUAGGACGCACAUAAACAAUUUUAAAAUGCAGGGGCUGGCCAGCGCUGCAACUCACUAGGCUAAUCCUCCUCCUGUGGCGCCGGCAUCCCGAGUUCUAGUCCCAGUUGGGGCGCUGGAUUCUGUCCUGGUUGCUCCUCUUCCAGUCCAGCUCUCUGCUGUGGCCUGCAGUGCAGUGGAGGAUGGCUCAGGUCCUUGGGCCCUGCACCCACAUGGGAGACCAGGAGGAAGCACCUGGCUCCUGGCUUCAGAUUGGCGCAGCCCGCCAGCUGCAACACACUGGCCGUAGCAGCCACUUGGGGGGUGAACCAACGGAAAAAGGAAGACCUUUCUUUCUGUCUCUCUCUAUAUAUCUAACUCUGCCUGUCAAAAAUAAUAAAAUAAAAUAAAAUAAAAUAAAAUGCAGGGGCUGCUAACCUUAUUGGUGUCAGUAAACACUUUUAUCUAAUUUCUCCAUGUUGCCUUUCACUGGGCGGAUCCAUACAACUUUGCCUUGAGAAUAAAAUCAAGGAGCCCCAUGGGAGAAAAUUUGUUAAAGAAUGUUCUCAAAUUGUACCAUGAGUCAGGGAUUGCAGGAAAUGAAAUAUGACCCUGUAGAAGAAAUACAGCCACAACCAGAGACAAAGAAAGAAAAGCAGACCCCUCCUCCCAACACAGACCUUGCAAAGUGGCUACUCGCAAUUAACUAGUGAAGCAACUGCCCACUGUUAUCUUGUCUAUGGAGGGAAGAAGUCUUAAGUUCUGCUUCUAUAACUCCAGUCAUAAAUCUGUCCUAGUAAAUCUGCCCCAGUAUCUCUUUUAGAAACAUACUGGCUCACUGACCAUUGAAAGUGUGGUCCUAAGUCACACUGGCUGCAAUUUAAACCCACCAAUGCUGUAACAGCUAAGGUAUGAUGCUGAUGAGCCUAUAAAUAUUGUGAGAAACUUGGGACUGUUGCUCUAUUCUCAAGAAAUGAUUGUAGCUGGGCCCGCUGGCAUAAUAAAGUACUUCAAUAUUCCACUGUCUCUGGUGCCUGUUUGAACAAAGACAGUCUUUCCACCUUGGAUUUCUGUAACAACCCUGCUUACUAUGCCCACUGCAGCUCACGCACUUGUUUCUUUUCCAGAAAGAUCUCUUGAUUGCUCUCCUCCUGUGUGAAGGACUACUGUGCUCCAGUAAUUCAGUGUUUACUGACUCAUUACUCUUCAGAUCUUAGGGAACCGACCUUAAAGUUAACUGCUCCUACUAUACCUCUUGGUGUUGAAAUCACCAUAGAUGGAAUGCAAAACAUAUGAUUUCAUGAA